rnacentral:rRNA from 1 species
ACGAACGCUGGCGGCGUGCCUAAUACAUGCAAGUAGAACGCUGAAGGAGGAGCUUGCUUCUCUGGAUGAGUUGCGAACGGGUGAGUAACGCGUAGGUAACCUGCCUGGUAGCGGGGGAUAACUAUUGGAAACGAUAGCUAAUACCGCAUAAGAGUAGAUGUUGCAUGACAUUUACUUAAAAGGCGCAAUUGCAUCACUACCAGAUGGACCUGCGUUGUAUUAGCUAGUUGGUGGGGUAACGGCUCACCAAGGCGACGAUACAUAGCCGACCUGAGAGGGUGAUCGGCCACACUGGGACUGAGACACGGCCCAGACUCCUACGGGAGGCAGCAGUAGGGAAUCUUCGGCAAUGGACGGAAGUCUGACCGAGCAACGCCGCGUGAGUGAAGAAGGUUCUCGGAUCGUAAAGCUCUGUUGUAAGAGAAGAACGAGUGUGAGAGUGGAAAGUUCACACUGUGACGGUAUCUUACCAGAAAGGGACGGCUAACUACGUGC